GACGAACGCUGGCGGCGUGCCUAAUACAUGCAAGUAGAACGCUGAAGGAGGAGCUUGCUUCUCUGGAUGAGUUGCGAACGGGUGAGUAACGCGUAGGUAACCUGCCUGGUAGCGGGGGAUAACUAUUGGAAACGAUAGCUAAUACCGCAUAAGAGUAGAUGUUGCAUGACAUUUGCUUAAAAGGUGCAAUUGCAUCACUACCAGAUGGACCUGCGUUGUAUUAGCUAGUUGGUGGGGUAACGGCUCACCAAGGCGACGAUACAUAGCCGACCUGAGAGGGUGAUCGGCCACACUGGGACUGAGACACGGCCCAGACUCCUACGGGAGGCAGCAGUAGGGAAUCUUCGGCAAUGGACGGAAGUCUGACCGAGCAACGCCGCGUGAGUGAAGAAGGUUUUCGGAUCGUAAAGCUCUGUUGUAAGAGAAGAACGAGUGUGAGAGUGGAAAGUUCACACUGUGACGGUAUCUUACCAGAAAGGGACGGCUAACUACGUGCCAGCAGCCGCGGUAAUACGUAGGUGGCAAGCGUUAUCCGGAUUUAUUGGGCGUAAAGAGAGUGCAGGCGGUUUUCUAAGUCUGAUGUGAAAGCCUUCGGCUUAACCGGAGAAGUGCAUCGGAAACUGGAUAACUUGAGUGCAGAAGAGGGUAGUGGAACUCCAUGUGUAGCGGUGGAAUGCGUAGAUAUAUGGAAGAACACCAGUGGCGAAUGCGGCUACCUGGUCUGCAACUGACGCUGAGACUCGAAAGCAUGGGUAGCGAACAGG
rnacentral:rRNA from 1 species